AUAUUGGGCCAUGGGUGAGAGCCUGAUCCAGCCAUCGCGCGUGCAGGAAGAAUGCCUUNCGGGUUNUNAACUGCUUUUAUACAGGNCUAAACCACUUUACGUGUAAGGUGUUGAAGGUACUGUAUGAAUAAUCUUCGGCCAACUCUGUUCCAGCAGCCGCGGUAAUACGGAGGAUGCACGCGUUAUCAGGAUUUAUUGGGUUUAAUGGGUCCGUAGGCGGGCAGAUAAGUCGGAGGUGAUAUCCAACAUCUUAACUGUCUAACUGCCGUUGAAACUGGAUGACUUGAGUGAGAUUGAAGCAGCUGGAAUGUGUAGUGUAGCGGUGAAGUGCAUAGAUAUUACACAGAACACCGAUAGCGUAGGCAGGUUGCUAAGUCUUUACUGACGCUGAUGGACGAAAGCGUGGGGAGCAAACA
rnacentral:rRNA from 1 species